UACGAAGGGGGGCUAGCGUUGCUCGGAAUUACUGGGCGUAAAGGGCGCGUAGGCGGAUGUUUAAGUCGGGGGUGAAAGCCCGGGGCUCAACCUCGGAAUUGCCUUCGAUACUGGACAUCUUGAGUACGGGAGAGGUGAGUGGAACUCCGAGUGUAGAGGUGAAAUUCGUAGAUAUUCGGAAGAACACCAGUGGCGAAGGCGACUCACUGGCCCGUUACUGACGCUGAGGCGCGAAAGCGUGGGAGCAAACAGG
rnacentral:rRNA from 1 species